UCUGUUUACAGAAUCCAAGCACUGGCCACAACCACGUGGGUUACUCCGUGUUCAGAGCUGAAUACGGCUUUUUCAGUUGUGCCCUCUUCCUGAAUCCAUCUGUGGUGUCAACCAGUCAUGGAUGCAGGAGACUCUGAACUUAAGCCCAGCAGCACCACACCAAGCAUCAGGAAGAAGACAGAUGAAUACCUAAAACCCACCGUGGUUUCCAAAAACGUGGUGAGCUUUUUACUCGGUAGGCAGCUGGGGAGGCACAGAAGUGAUGUGGAUCUGUCAAAGUGGCUGUGGAUGCUGACAAGAGACAUGCCAGGGUGGAGGUGGCCUUUGCCAAAAAAUCAUGUGACUUACCUGCUUAUGCCUGCCAAUAAUUUUGGAAAAUGCAAAAAAAAAAAUGUUUAAAAUAAACUUAUGCCUUAUCUCAGCUGUUAAAAUAAAAGCUGUGUAUUCAGUC
rnacentral:lncRNA from 1 species